AGAGUUUGAUCCUGGCUCAGAACGAACGCUGGCGGCAGGCCUAACACAUGCAAGUCGAACGCUCUAGCAGUAGAGAGUGGCAGACGGGUGAGUAACGCGUGGGAACCUUCCCAAUGGUACGGAAUAGCUCAGGGAAACUUGAGGUAAUACCGUAUAAGCCCCUAGGGGGAAAGAUUUAUCGCCAUUGGAUGGGCCCGCGUCGGAUUAGCUAGUUGGUGAGGUAAUGGCUCACCAAGGCAACGAUCCGUAGCUGGUUUGAGAGAAUGACCAGCCACACUGGGACUGAGACACGGCCCAGACNCCUACGGGAGGCAGCAGUGGGGAAUCUUGGACAAUGGGCGCAAGCCUGAUCCAGCCAUGCCGCGUGAGGAAGAAGGCCUUCGGGUUGUAAAAUCCUGUCAGAUGGAAAGAAAUGUACAGGUGUUAAUAUCGCCUGUAGUUUGACGGUACCAUCAAAAGAAGCACCGGCUAACUCCGUGCCAGCCGCCGCGGUAAUA
rnacentral:rRNA from 1 species